rnacentral:misc_RNA from 1 species
CACCACCACUACCACCACCACUGCCACUGCUUCUUGUUCGUGUUGAUGCGCAAGCGAUUGUUGGUGCCGCCAUACCCAUCCACCGACUCGUCGCUGCAAGAGGAAAGGGAAAACCCAGGCAGCAGCGGCGAGGGAGAGUCGAGAGAGAGACGCACACACACCCUCCACUCCCCUUCCCUCCCCUCUCUCCACCUCGGCCUCGCGCUCGCACUCGCCUGGUCUUCUUUCUCGUUGCUUACGACCUCCCUCCGUCUCUCUCUCUCUGUCUCUGCCGCAUCGGGAGUGGAAGAGGACGCGGAGUGAGUGGGCGGGCGGGGAGAGGAUCAACCAGCCGGUAUCGAGGCGUCCGUCACCCGUGCACGCACCGCUGCACGGUACGCAGAAAGACAUAGACAGAUAGUACCACGUGAUCCGUAAAUAGACUUCGUUGCCUACCUGCCGAAAGGUAGCGAGACAUCCUCCACCCGGCGUGGUGCGACGCGCCCGCAGUGACGCUUCCAUCGACACCCACGCAUGCAUAGAGUUAUAGAGGGGCACCCACGUAGCCAAUGGAUCACCGACAGACACCACACUGCACAGUGGAGAAGCAGCACCGGACCUCGCCGCGCGCGGCGUCAGCGGAGAACGGCUCCUCGUCACCGACCUACCCGAGUGGACAGGAAAGCGGCACCACACCAGCCACGGGUAGCAGCAGCGGCAGCGGCGCGGCUGCUGGAAGCCCUGGCGUCCGCCACGUGACUUCUGCGCGAACUGCCGUCUCUGCUACUGCUGCUGCUUCCACACGCACCCCGCCCCACCAAAGUAGUGGAGCGGCUCUUCAUCUCUCCCCUGGCGGCCGCACUCUUGGGUCAUUCUUCGAUGUGACAGCUUUCGCCUCCCCUGCUUCUGCCUUUACAUCGUCGCCGGAGUACGGCAGAGCCAUGGCGCAUCUGCUGGACAGCGUGGCGAGCCCCUCAUCGACGUCACCUUCGCGAACGCCAACGCGAUCUUCGUCGUCGCUACAGAGCCAUAAAGCAGCGCACCCGUCCUCGCGCCAACGCCAUCCCCCGCAGCAGCAGCGCUGGUCGUCCUCUGCACAGGUAGCUGCCCACCCAAUGCGUCGCGCCAACGUGGAGAGGGCUGGCGGCUCUCCGGAAUGGGAUCGCCGCACGCCUACGCGGCAGCAGCAGUCUCACCGCAGCGCUCAGAGGCGCGAUCCGCUGCCCGCCUCCUGGAGGGCGCAGCAAGGGCCAGCGGCUACCACCGAAGGGGCGGCUGCCACGUACACGUCCUCCAUCAGUGUCGACGACGAGGUAUCGUCUCGGUUCUUUGCCACCCAGCUGACAGAGAUGCGGGAGCGCCACGACAGCGACUGGGCAUCUCCGUCAGAGGUGCUGCAGUUGCGUACACUUUUCCAGGACCUGACCUCGCGCUACAUGCGGGAGGUGCAAGCCUUGAAAGGUGAGUUGGCAAAGGCGCAGGAGGAGUGCGCCGCCUACGCGCGGGAGCGGGAGAAAGUGCUGGAGCUGCAGCAGGUCUACCAGGACGGCGUCGCCGCAUGUGGAAGGGCGAAGGAACGGGAGGCGCAGUGGGUGGAGGAGCGCGCGCUGCUGCACGUGCAGAUGGAAAAGAUGAUGGUGGAGAAUCAGCGGCUGCAGCUCUACAUUGCCAAGAAGCAGCAACCUCAUAUCCAUCAUAUGUCACCGCGCGGCAGCGCAACAGGAAGUCGCGAGCGGGUGCGGGCGGCGGUGCAAGCAGUCGCCAGUGCCGCCACCGCGACGUCUUCCGCCUCCCCUUCCCCGUCCGCCUCCUGGCCACCUCUGCCGCCCACCGCCACCGCCACGACGACCAACACGACAGGCUACUUGGCCCCACCGCAGCCGCUAGAUGGUCCGGAUACAAAGAUCUUCGCCUCUCUUCCCGGUGCAGCGGAGGCCGCCGUCACUGGCACGGUGCAGACGGAAGCGACAUCGCCGUACACCUUCUUGUCUGCGUCUUCAUCGCCUGAAGAGCUGCAGUACAGGGCACCUCAGCGAGGCGGCGGCGUGGCGGCCGAGACACCACUGCCUCCUAUGCCCUCGCCCACUUCUCACCAAUCUGCACUCGCAAGGCCCGCUUCGCCUAUCAGCGCUGCCGCUUCCGCAGGUGCACAGCCACCGCAUUCGACACCGCUCCAGCGCACCUUUCCCACUGAUAUUGGCGAUGACGCCGGCGCCGACCUGCCAGGUGGCGAUGGCGACCAUGGCGAUACACUGCAUCAGCAGCAGCGUGGUCGCUCACGACGGCACCCACGCGGUGGUGCCAACCACGACGAGGAGCCGCACAACUCUUCCCUCAUGACCCCUUCGGUCUCCACUAGCGAUGAAGGCCGACUCGGCGCUGGGAAGGCGGUACGGCUUCCGCGGCAGCAGCGGGUGCGUCUCGACGGUGGUGACAAUGAGGUCGACAAUACUACCGGAGAAGGCGAGUUCAACCCCUCUUACGCUCGCGGCGUCACGGACCUGUCGUCCACCUCCGGCGGGUCGUCAUCGCCCUCGCCGGCUACGAACAUUCGUUCAAUGCUCGCUGGCAGUGGCCUUGCGCAGGUCCACGAGCAGCGGUCGGGUGGCCACAGCGACGAUGGUGGCCGUCGUGCCGCAGAGCAAUGGGGUGGGGAGCUGGUUGCCGAUAGAGCUGCUGCUGUGGCCGCUGCGGCGGAGCUUCCCGCCACUGCCACCGCCACCGCUACCACCACUACGACGCCGUCACUGGGUUCUACCGCAAUGACGACAGCGCCCUCGUCACUGAGUCUUCAGUAUCUCUACCAGCUCCCACGCACUCCUGCGGAGGCCCUGCAGGAGGAGGUGCAAAUGCUCAAGGAGCUUCGGCGGCUUGGGGAGGAGAACCAAGUUCUGAAGGCCCGCCUGGACUACAUUCAGGUGACGAAGGAAAUCUUCACGAACCAAUGCGAGCAGCAGCACCUCCGACUCGCCCAGGCGCACGACCAGUCGCGGCACAGCGCAGCGCAGUGGGAGCUGUCGUCACGACAGCUGGCGUCAGAGGUGAGACAGUUGGAGGCGAAGUGCGCGGAGUUGCAGGGUGCACUCGAGGACGUGCUACAACAAGCCAAGAGGCAGCAGAAGCUGAGCCAGGCACGCCUCGUGGAGCUGGAGUCAAGCAGCCGUGCGGCGCUAGUGGCCACACGCGACGAGGCCAUAGGAAAGGUAGGCGCGCUUCGAAGUUCCCUGCGGGAGAUUGCCGCUAGCCUGGCGGCCACGUCUGCUUCAAAAUCGUCUCCGGCUGCGAGGCACGAGGUGGCCCAGCUGCGAGAGGAGGCAGGGCAGUGCCAGCGCAUCGUCGAGAAUCUGCGGAACGAACUGCAUGCGCUGCGCACCGCACACUCAGAGCUGCAGGAUGAGCAUAGCGCAUUGCAGGCGGAGGCGCAGAUGCAUCGGACACGCUUGGAGGGUGACCUGGCGAGCUCACGGGAGCUGCUGGCGGCUGCGUGCAGUGACCAGCGGUCUGCGGAGUCCCGCAUCGCCGAGCUGGAGGCGGAGGUCGAGCGACUGCGCUCGGCUGUCGUGUCGUCUGAGGGGCUCAUGCAUACCAUGGAGGAGCGCCUCCGGCUCGCCACCGAUGAGCUCGCGUCGCAGCAGGAGCAGCUGGACGAGGCGUCGACGUGGCAGGCGCGCGCUCUCAGUGCUGAGAGUGAGCUUAGCACGCAGCGCAGUUACUACGAGAAAGAGAUCUCUGUCUACAAGACGGCGGCAUGUGCAAUGCAGGAUCGCCACCACGCAGAGGUGGAGGGCUUAUUAAAGCGCUGUGAAAAGCUGCAAGUACGCCAUGAGGCGGCGAAGGUGCGCCUGGCUGCAGCGGUGUCGCGAUCAGGGGCGGCUGCCGUAUUCGCUGCUGCCGGCGGUCACGCAAGGAGGCGACACUCCCGUCAUGCGAAGAGCGAGGACAGGGGCGCGCCAGUCAUCUCCGGCAACCCAACCGACACUGCAAGCCACUCGCCGCCAGCUGCUGUCAAGACGGAGGCUUCUUCGACCGACUGCGCGGCUGCCGCUUACGAUUCUCUGCAAGCGCUGCGCAUCUCGGGGCAGGUGACGGAGAAGUUGAUUCGCUCCCUGAACCGCGCCACCUCGCCGUACCACUGAAGAAGAACGGGAGGCCGAAGACAAACAGCGAUGCAAACACACAGAAACCCACCCGGAGCGCGCACGCAGCGGUGGGAAGAGGAGGGGUGGGGGUGGGGUAGCAACAGCCGCAAUGCAUACAUGGGCGUGGUGGAGAGUGAAGGUGGCACAGAUGCUGUAGCGCAUCUCUUCUCUUGCCACACACACACACACACACACACACACACACGCUCUCUGAUGGCUUUCCUCCCUUCGCCUCUUCGCCAUCCUUCCUAUUCGCUUUUAUGGUAUGUAUUAGUGGCACGGCAGCGACACAUACACACAUCAUCAUCAUCAGUGAGUGCCUUCCCAUCCGUGGCUGCUACGCCCCCUCCUUUGUUGGCUUUUCUGAGUGAGCGAAGAAAACACAAAGCGUGUUGGUGCGUCCGUGUGUCGUCGUCGGCCGACUGCUUCCCAGCCCUCGAAGAGACAACACGCCACACAGACGUGCUCUCGUUGAGCGUCCAUGUAGGGAGGAGGUAUACCCGGUCUCGCCCACUCUCUCACCAGCACAGACCCACCUGACCACCUUAUCCCUCUCUCCCCCUUCUUCGUGCCUCCUUCCUUUGCUGUCUUUUCGUCCUUUGUUCCUCUCCCCUCCCCACCACACACACACACACACACACCUCUUUCCUGACCGCCUCUCUCUCUCGCUCUGUGUGUGUAUGCGUGUAUGUGUGUGUACGCCGCCGCACACGGCGAAUGGCCCUGCUCCACCAUACACUCCACCUAACGCCUCACCGUGCUUGCUCUGCGCCUCACCGCCUCUUUUCCAAG